AGAAUGUUCUUUCUGAAAUGCAGAUCUGGUUCUGUCACUCUCCUCUUUGAAAUGCUUUCUUUUGGAGUUAAAAUUAAAAACCACUCCACGGGUCUACCAGAGCCUUGCAGGGCUUCAUUUGGUUGUUUUAAAGGAAGACUAUAUGCUGGACACUCAUGAGAAAGCAGAGAUGAGAUUUCCACAGUCGUUCCCGCUUCACCUUUCUAUUGCUAAAUUUUAGCCACGCCCAUCUAUCCAUUUCUUGAAUGCAUCAAGCUCUAUCCCACCUCAGGGCCUUUGCACAUGCUCUUCCCACUGCCUGGAAAACUGUCAUCGCAUUCCCUCUCCUUUCCCCCUCUUCUCCCCGUCUGGCUUAUUUCUACUCAUUCCUCCAGUCGCAGGGUAAAUACAAUCCUUUCCUCAGUGUCUCAUGGUCUCUCAUUACCCUUACUUAUUACCCUUUGAUUCCCUUUGUGGCAAUUUGCAAUUGGCUGUUCCUUCGUGUGAUUAUUCAGUGUCUGUCUUGUCCGUUAACCAUAAACGUCCUAAGAGCAGGAGUGUAGCUGUGUUCGUCAUCUAGAUGUAUCUACUGCACUUUCAAGUGUUGAUUGAAUAAAAGAAUGAUUGAGGGAAUAUAUUACAGCAAGUUUCUGUGUUCCUGUUUGUGCUUCAUGUAGACGACUUUAAGCGUUUAUUCGCUAUCUACCUAAUUUGUUCAUUCUACCAACAUUUAAUGAGUGGUGAGUAUGUGCAAGCCGAGAAAAAGGCACAGUUCCUGUGCAAGGGGAACAGUGGAAACAGUGGUCUCAUAAGCUGGCGUUGUGCACCGGAGAGGGCUGGGUGGAAUGCCGAUAGGCUCCUAGAGAAGGCCUGUGUGCACACAGUCUUUGUCCUGGCAUUGCGGGUGGGUUAUCGAGGAUAAUGUUCUGAAAUGAAAGCUGUUCAGCGUCACUGGAUCGGGAAGUGAUCAACCAUUCCCAAAUCUCAUUAGAAAGAUAUUAGCUUAAACUGUAAGGGGUGUGAGAUAAGCUGUGGUCUAGUUAACUGCAACAUGGGGGCACGUGCUGGUGGCAGAUCAUACGGUGGCUGAUAAGGAAUAUUGAAAACCAGAGCCUGGGAGAGACGGAAUGUGUCAUCGACCCCUCACCCUUUGGGAGAAUGGAGACUCUCCCCUCAGAUGAAUGGCUGCACUCUCCAGAUGCUGGUAGCCCUGAAGUGGAGGAGGGCAGACCAUUCUGCCUCUUUCAGAAGAGGCUAGUCCUUGUAUGUAGCCUUUCAAAGUACUGCUACAAAUUAGCAGACAUUUGAAAACUGACUGCUCUUAAGGUGUGGUGGGAGAAGAAAGAGGGUGGCUUCUGGCUCUUUUUCAUUCUGCCUGUGAUUGAAGAUGAUAGAAGACUUUAUUGGAUUUAGUAAAUUAAACAUGAUUGUUCCUUUUUAAAUUAUGUAUGACAACAGGUAAUACUACCUAAUCCAAGUUUACCAUUUCUAAAAUUCACUAACUCUAGAGAAAUGACCUUUAGUUCGUUACCCUGACGGUGUCCUCCAAAUAGGUUCCCUUCACCUAAGGCUAUGAGAGUUUGAACUUUAUUUCCUGACUUGAUGAGUAUUUCAUGAUAAACCAGUUCUGGCCCAUUAACUUCAUUUCUCAAAACGCAGGUUUUAAAAGCAUGUUUCCUAAAGGAGUUGCCUCUCAAAAUGGAAUGAAUCCAACUUGGGGGAAAUAAAAAUGGUCAGAGGGAACAUGGCACACAAUCUUGAAGACAAUGGUUUGUGUGUGUGUGUGUGUGUGUGUGUGUGUGUGUGUGUGUGUGUUCGUGUUCAAGUAGUAACAUUAUAUAAGUAACAAGCAACAUGUGUCUGAUUAACAGCCCAGUGUCCAAUAACUAUUAAGAAUUCCUGUUAAGUAUGAGCCUGCCCUCCUGUUCUCCUUGUAUGUUUUCUAAUUGAUCUAGAAAAUUAAACUAGCGAGGUAAUGUUCCAAGAAAGCCAUCCCCUCCCUGCUGGCGAUUUAGUGGAGGAUAUGAUGGAGUGUCCUUUUAGAGAUAAGUGUGGCCCACAUUGACAGGGGUCUACGUGCAGAUAGUCCCCCACUCACGAUGGUUCAACUUCGCGUUUUCAGCUAUGAUGGUGCGAACACGAUAGACAUUCAGUAGAAACUCUGCUCUGAGUUCUGUUUAGUUUCCACAGUUGAUUGUAAAAUAGGCUUUGAGUUAGAUGACUUGACCCAACUGUGGGCCAAUGUAAAUAUUCUGAGCACCUUUAGGGCAGGCUAGUGGAAGUGAUCGUGUUCAGUAGGUUACGUGUACUAAAUGAAUUUUUGACUUGUGUUAUUUUCAGCUUAUGGUGAGUUCAUUGGGAUGUAACCCAUAGUAAGAUGAGAAAGGUCUGAAUGGAUAGAUUGAUACAGAAUGAAUUUGCCCAAACCCUGCCCUGGGAAGUUAGGAACUGGAAAUACAUCAUGGGAUUUCCUGUCCUGGGGUGUGGCCUCAUCCAAGGAAUGUCUGCAAUUCCUAUUUCCAUUUGAGUAAACAGGCAGAUAUGAAGGGUCACUGGGGUAGACCAUAAUUAGGUGUGUUGUUGAGAUUUUCAGACCUUUUGAAAAUUGACAAUAUGUGGAAGAUAAAAUAUUCCCCACAGAGGAUUCAGCUAAUCGUUCUUCUAGGUAAAGAAGGGCUCCAUUUCUUGGUCUGUCUGAUGAGGCCUUUUCAUUUUCCGCUGCCAACUAACCUAAUUUGCAAAUGAAAAACUUCACUGAGGCACGCGUUGCCUGCAAGGGAAUUAUAGUCCUGCACCUUUGGAAGUGUUGAGUAGAACACACGAUUGCAUUUUAAACAAAAGACUUAUGAUCUUAAUUCACAGUUAAAAUAACAGUUGCUCCUAAGUGGUACUUAUUAUUUGGAAAAGCGUAGACAUUCCAAUAACGGUAAUCAGGAGGAGUUAGGUUCACUUAAAAGCCAAACACGUGAGGAGUAAUUGUGAAAACUUGCUUAGUAUUUGCUGUUUUGGGGGAGAUUUGAUCCUCAGAUCCCACCAUAUCCCUUGUUGAUACAUUUCACGGCUGGUCUUUUUUAGAUCCGUGGAGACUGGCAACCCUUUACAGCUUUCAAGCAUAGCGGCAACACUUCUCGUCCAAGCCCACAGUGUUUCAGCGGGGGCUUAGGGGAAGCAAAUAGGGUUUAGACGAGGCAGAGGACUUGGGUUCAAGUCUUAGUUCCUACAGUUACGGACUUUGUGACUGCCUAGAGGGUCGUUUGCCUUGAGGAUCCUCCUCUCAGCUGCGAAGUAAGAAUUAAAAUGCUGAGGCUUUUUAUGUGGACUGCGGCGAUCACUUCAUCCAAAGCCACAAUGGUACCAGGCAAGGGCACCAACCUUGACACUUGUUCAAGUCCUUGUGGUUGAGGGCAAGUCAAGUGAUGGAUAGCCCAGAUAGAUUUAUUCAGAGUUAAAAAAAAAAUCCAAGUGAGUUACACAAGGAGACCUUCUACUUCUCUUGGGUCUUUUCUACUUUAGAACUGUAUUUGAUGUAUUUAUUCCAAAGAUGUUUAUGGUGCUUGUCUUCAUGUACUGCCUGUGUGCUAGGCACUGAGGAUAAAAUGUAAAGGAGGAGACACGGGCCUUGCUGAAGGAGUUGACUGUCAGGGCAGAGGGGGAAGACCGGGAGUGGGAUAUCUCAGUGGAGCGAGCUGGGCUGGGCGGCCGCCGCCAGGGCAUGGGAGCUGGUGGUCAGCAGUGAGGUCCGAGAAAGGUGGGACAAGUGGGCCUUAGGAUUUAGUGGAAAGGGUUUGGAUUUUAUUCCUGUUCUGUGGCUGUUCCUUUUAUUUACUUUGCAUGCAGAAAGUCUCUCCAAGUCCAGACAUUAAGCUGCAGCUCCAGUGUGUCCGAACAGCACACAGGAGGGGGCAGAUGCCUGUCUCAUUUGCUCCCCGUGACUCCCCACUUAUCAGUCUUGCCCAUCUUUCUGGACCCUGCCCCGGCCUUCCUUCACCACAAGAUCCUCCCGGCUUCCCGUUUAUAACAUUUCCCUUCCUGUUGGCCUUUUUAUAGUACUUCCCACAUUCUGCCUUGUUUAAAAUUCUUGGUGUUGGUCCCCCUGGUAAAGUGGGAGCCUUGGGAUGCCAGGGCCUUAUGUUGUUCACGUUUUCUUUUGCAUCCAUUGCCAUGCACAGGUGCCUUCUGCAUGGGAGAUGCCCAAUAAAUAUUUAUCGAGUUGAAACCACUCAAAUCUGGAUAGGAAGCUAGCAGGGAAUAGUUGCCCAAAGCACUGCACGGGAGAGAAGCUGAUCUGAGAGCACAAUGGGGAACGUACCAUACGCACCCACAAAAUGGUUUCAUUCUUGUAUUUGUUCGGACUUGUCGAGGAACUUAAUGGGUCCAUGAUAGAUGGUUUCAUUUACUAGAUGGAUUGGAUCGAGAGGAUUGUGAACCUGGAAACCUUUAGAAUUAAAUUCCAGUUCCAAGGAGGGCAUGUUACUCAUUUUUACAAUUCUAAACGUAAUGCAUAAUUACAAAAAUUCAAACCAUUAAGAAAGUACAUGAAGUUAAAAAAAAAAAAGAAAAUUAAAAUCAACCUCUCUCCUAUCCCUCGUACUAACCUCCCUCAGAGGUAAUUGUUGCGCAUAAUUCCUUGUUUAUUCUCCAAGAAUGUCUCACCUGAUAGUACAUCUCCCUUCGUCCAUGUCAGUACCUACAGAUGUGUUUCUUUUUAUUACUGAUUGCGUAAUCUUCCCUAAUGUGGCAUGUUAUUGACAUGUUCCUCCUUUGAGAUCUGUUGAUACUGUUUCCAGUUUCUUACUCUUUGCAGUGAACUCUUGGCACAUCUUGAUACCACCCAAAUGGUGUGGUCAGCUCAGUCAGAGUAUGAGCACCUUACCCGUUCUUAACACGUCUUGACUACCUACUGUGUGUCGGGCACUUGGCUUCCAUAGUUUGCCAGACCACACAAAAACCAAUUAGGUAUUGCCUGUGCUGUCAGGGAGCUCGUAGCCUGGUUGGGACAGUUGGCUCUACCUACCUAACAAUCCACUGUAAUGAAAGCUGGACUCCAGAGCUGUAUGAGGCGUCAGGUGUCGUGGUUACCAAGUGACAAUGAUCAGGUGGGCUGGUGGGUGUCAGAAAGGGCUCUGUUAACGAGGGCUGGGCUUGAAGGUGGGGGGUGGGGGGAGGGUGUCGGGAAGGGCCUUCUGGAACAGAGCAAAGCACUGAGAAUGGAGUGGCCAGCAUGUAGGAUGUUGAGAGAGGGCAAAGAGGAAAAGAUGGGGCAGCAGCUGUAGGCCAGGACCAAACUGCAAAGGCCUUUGUGCCACGUGAAGAGACUUGAAAGAAACCUGAGUAAGAAUGAGUUGGGCAUGUUUCCUGAGCCCUUUCUCACUCCGCUGCAUUUAAUGCAAAUAUGCAAGACAUGCUGCAUAUUCAAAGCCACAGCAUAAUGAGCUGUUUUCGAGAAGAGUUCCCUGCUCUGUCACGGCAGCCUUGCUAAUAAGCCAGUCUGAGUGUAGAGUUGCUCUUCCAGUAAGCUGUGCUUUCCAGUGGACAGCCCCUGAGUCCUGGUGACCUUGCAGUGGGCAACAUCUUUCUUGCUCUCUCCCCCACUCCCGCCCUCCCCUCCCUCUGUGUGGAGACCGUGCAGAAGGGCCGAGCAUCUUUUGUGGAUUCUGCACAUAAAUGGAUAGGAUUGGUCCCCAAGGAUGUCAGCUUGGCAACCUUUAGAGUGUGAAAUCCAUUUAAAAAGGGAUCAGGAAAAGAAAUUCGGAAAGAAUGGGAGAAGACUGUGUAGAUGGGGUGGUUUAUACAGUUAGUGGGUUUAAUUUUUAUUUCCUGGAAAGGGUUUGGGAGAAAGACAUGUGAGGUAAAUUCUCCUGUGAAGUGCUUAUAGAAUUGCUACUCCAUCAGCAAGGAAACCGCAGACCAGGGCAUAAGUACUGUGAAUUUAAAGCAACCGUGGAUUAAAUUCCUCAGGCACUGGAGGCUGCGUUUUGCUGACUGUGGAAGCUCUUUGUGUGAGCUCGCAGGCUGCUGUGUGUAAGGAAGAUUCGGCUCUCCCCUUGUCCCUGCGUGCCUGCCCAUGUCAGUUUCUCCAUCUCUGAAAUGGGGAUUAUAACCUCUCAGGAGGCCUUUGUGGCAACAGAUAAUUUUGUUAAGAAAAAUAAAGAUUUAUGGUUUUAAAAUAUGCACGUCUAAAAUAGCUACUGGUGCUAUUUGGCUGUCUUUGCCUGAAUUUCUCUAUGCCUGUAAGUGAGAUUCAGCAUUUUCUUGUGGACUGUGAAUUGUUGCUACUAAAUGAGCUUGUCAGUCUCUGCUAAAGAACAAAGUGUCCUUGGAUUUACCCCACACUGCAUUGCUUUAUGCACUUACACCGGAGUGCUAAAUACGGAAUGUGCCCAAUUCUGAUUUUUCCCCAGAAGGCUGCAGCUCCAGAAGGGACACUGGUAUACACAGCCACUCCCCAGAGCCACGUAGAAGCCUCGGGAGCCUUUGGACUUGGCUCUGCCGCAGACUUGCCCCCACGCGGGGCCUGGGCGGGACGCUGCCCACUAGACUUCCUUUCUCAUCUGCAGAAUCUCAGCUCUGGCACUCGUCCGGAAGAGCCGAUCUUUGCUGCUUUAACUUCUCGUAGUUGGCAUUGAAUUUUUGGGCUUUUUCUUUGUGGUUUGUGACUCCUAAUCCAAACCUUCUGGUUAUUGUAAAAUAAGCAACAGGAACAAUCCAGAUGCCUUUGGGGUAUAUCUCCUUACUCUGAGGACCAGGUCUUUGAUGUGAAAGGUGGAAGUUUGCCUGACUUAAGGAGAAUACUUUGUGUCCCAGGGUACUGCUGGGUGUUCAUGGCCUCUCAGGGCUGCCUCCAGCGGAUAAGGAGGGUACAGAAAAUAACGGACCCUGGGUCCCCAGGCCCCUGACACUCUGUUGAAACAAGCAUCCUUAUUUGUUACCUGAUUUGCCUGCAAGAUUUUGCAUAAGAUACAAGAAAAGGGUUCUGCUGCUUAAAAAAAAAAAAGAGUGUUUAAAACCUCUAGUUCACGCACUCUGGGAUUUUGUAUCCUUGCACAGCCUUGGCGCGGUCUUAUCUUUUUCUCCAUGAAAUUGGAAAAUGCAUUUGUCACCCGGGCCCAGCCCUCAGACUGGGUUGAUAUUUACACAGUUGCCAGGGUUCCUCAGACAGGUAGCCAUUGACCUUGCUUCGUUGUUUGCAGUCUUUUUGUUAGUGGUUUUGUAUAUGGCUUCCUUUAAAAUCAUUAGUACAUUUUAUUAAGAACUCUUUCCAGAAAAUAAGCCUUUAAAAGGUGUUCUCAUUUAAAAAAUAUUUAUAAUAGUAUCUUUUGAUAAACAAAUUAGUCUAAUAAUAGAUGCUUCCUGGAAACUGCCCUGUGUGAUUAUCUCUGCACAUCCUAGUUUUCCCUGCCCUUCAGACAUGUGCAGUUAUUGUCCUACCGGGCUUCUGAUGGAUCCCGGGACAAGCCAGUUCAGUCCCCCUCUGCAGGCUACUGGAAAAAAAUCUUCUGGCAAUGAGGAUUUGACCAUUGACUCCUCUGAUCAUAGCUUGAUGCCCAAAGAACAAGCUGUCCUUCCAUGCCCUGAAUUCUCUGCUUCAUUCGGUAACCUUUCUUGAAUGCCUGUAAUGGUUCAGGUGUUGUUCUGGGCCCUGAAUUCCAGAAUUCCAUGGGAUAUGGAAUAUCCCAUAUGAUUCCAACAUUUCUGCCUGAAUCCUGUGCGUGGAGAAAUAGGGGCUUACCAUUCCAUAACCGGCUCACAUGGCACCUCCUGUGAAUUCUUCACGUAAGCAAAGGAGCACCUUUUUAUGGUUUUGGACGUUCUGUGCACAUCUAUCUAUCCAUUCUCCGUCAUCAGGAUUAUGGUAGCUGGUUGUCUAUCAUUGGACGCUGCCCUUGGAGGGUAUCAACUGGGUCAUACUGGUCAUUGUAUCCCCAGCAUUUGGUCCAUCCCCAGAUGAUGUCCAUCUACUGGAGCUAGGAGAAACCAGGAAUGCAGGUCACAUUCUUGGAAAAGGAGCCUUCACUACAGUCAGACCAGCUCACACCAGCAUUGUAUCCCCAGCCCCAGAUAUCUCCUAGCUGUCCAAAAAAUAUUUCCUUUUACUUCCUGGUCUUUUCUGUCUGGGCUGGAAAUAACUUACCCUCCUCUUUAUGACAUUAUUUCUUUCUACUUUUAAAAAUAGUUGUUUGUGGCUCAUUCGAUGAAGCAUCCAACUCUUGAUUUCGGCUCAGAUCAUGAUCUCACAGGACGUGAGAUUGAGCCCCACGUCAGCCUCUGGCCUGACAGUGCGGAACCUGCUUGGCAUUCUCUAUUUCCCUGUCUGUCUGCCCCUCCCCUGCUUGCUCCUGGACUCUGUCUCUCUCUUUCAAAAUAAACAUGAAAAAAUACUUAAAUAGUUGUCCGUAUUUAAAUGGUAGCCUCCUCUUUCCCACUGGAGUCUGAGAUCCCAGAGGCUAGUCACUUGUCUCACUCACCUUCGUCUUCCUUCGAGAGCCAUAGCAUAUACUGUGCUUGAUGUGUUUUAUGGGCUUGGGCACAUCUUGGUUCAGAGAGCUGGUAUGACUACAUUGGAGGCUCUUUUCCCGAGAAUGUGAGCUGCAUUCCCGGGUUGUCCUAUCUCUAGUAGACGGACAUCAUCUGCGGAUGGGGCAGAGAAAAGGCUGGGCCCUGUACUGGUGACUGUUAAAAAUAGAUCAGCCGCCAACCACUGAAAUAUCUGCUACAUGGGUUCUGCUGCUUUCUAUCUUGUAGGCAUAUUUGAUUAGAGUGGGUAAAAGGAAAAUACCACUCCGAGGUCAUUUAAUGGUCUAGCUCUUCCUUCCUGUAACUGUAGGGUGAAUUUCUGCCCCAUAAAUCUAUAGGUCUUUGUGGGGGCAAUAAUUCUCAAUAUUUUGAGAUCGCCUUGGGAUUUGCAGAAACCUCAGUGUUUUUGUUUUCCCCUAAAGCAAUAGCAGUGCGUGUCUCUUGAUCAUUUAUCCUUAGGAGGAAAGGAUAGGUCUUUUCAAUGAAUAUUACACCAUGACCUGCAAAGUUCAUCAGCAUGUGGCUUUCUCCUGUGCCCAAGUCCUACAUGUGAGAGGCAUAUUCCUGGGCCAUGCUGAAUGGUGGUGAGGAUAUCGGGCCACCUGCUUCACAGGACUUGGCACUGGAGCCAGGGAAGUUCGUUGUUCUCCUCCUGAAAUAAUUUCUGUCCUCUGUGGCCCUGGGAGUGUGAUAGACAUGGUUUUCCUUUGAUUUAGUGCCUCCCUGCUCAAACCCCAUUUCAUGGAGCUCUGCCUCUCUGUCGACUGUGAGUGAAGGAUAACAGGACAUAAACUACUUGUAGACGUGAUGGAGCCAAAGAAAGAUCGUUGCUUUCUGAGUUGGUUAGCUUCAGAGAUGGCUGUCAAGUUUUCAGUCCUGAUGUGAACAGUUUUGCUACGACCACUACCUCCCAGAGGUUGAUGUGAAAGUACUUCACUCUAGAAAAGCCCCAAGUCCAGAUGAGCGCUCUGCCUUACUGUUGACCCACCUGUCGUCACCACCGUGUCAUGGAAUUUCGUAUGUGUGAUGCACUCUCCCAGAUGGGAUGUCGACAUCCCCACGAUUGAGGUAAGCUCUGAGCAUAAGAAUAAAAAAAAUAUCAACAGCUCAGCUUGGUGGUAGAGGGAGGAAUGUAUUGUUUGCUUGUGUCUCCAGGCUUCGGGGAUAAUGUGCAGAUAAUCUGCCAUGUGGCUUUGUGCCUACAUCAUUUGGUUGACUCAUGUCCUUGGCAGACCCAUAUGUGAUGCACCAGUAGUGCCAUACCUUAAGUUGUGUUUGGGGAAGCUCUCGGUCCACGUUGGUCUCUAAUGGCACGUCUUGUAUUCAUACUGAAAGAACCCAGUCACAGGAAGGGAAGCUUUACUAUCUAGUGGGAAUUUAAGAAACCUAUCACACCUAGAAGAACAUUGCCUUUUCAUGUUCACUUAUCCCUUGGUGAGAUGAUCAAGUAAAUACUAUGACCUUAGUCACGUGAGAGAGCUGUCAGUCAUUAGUCUAACCAGGGAGUCAAAGAAAGUAACAAGAGUAGUACGUCUUUAGGAAGGCUCUAACAGAAUUAAGCAGCAGUGUUCACAGCAAGUGAAAGGGGUGGAUCUGGGAGCUGGGGGGGUAAAUGUCCCAGUAGGUCUGCACACACUUCAUUCACCUGCACAGUGCAUUAACCUCCUCUGGAGUUUAUCUGGAGGGAGGAGCUCUGGAGAAGCCCCUGAAUCUCUAGUUUGAAUUCCCUUAGCACACUGAUUCCAAACCUCAGAUGGUAUCUGUUGACUGGAGGGGAAGGAGGUUACUAAUGUGGUUAGUACUCACCAUUCUGUACGCAGUGCCAGCACCUCCCAGGGCGGUUUGUGACAUUCGAAAUUCCACCUAAAAUGUGUCCUUUUUCACUUGGCAAUAUGUAAUCGCCUCUGAUGGUAGAGAUUUAAGUAACUGGAGAAUGCUGUUUAAGUGAAAUCUCAUGGAAGACACACCCAGAGAUCAUUUUCAUUCAUAUUUUUUUUCAUUUCUUUUGGCAGCAAUAAUGCAGUAUUUCUGUGUUUCAUUAUUAUGUAGUGUUAUGGGGCAUAUUCUUUGUGGGUUUAGAUUCCAGAGUAGUGUAUCUGAUCUAUACUUCAUAAAGCAGUGUUAGCCAAGUAAUUUUGCUGAAAAGCAGCCGCUUUGGCAGAAAGGGAAGAGCCUCUUAUAAAAAAGAACAUAUUACGAAGCUGGACUGGAGUUCAUUGGGACCAAGAGAUGUUGGCUACCAAAGGUCUAGAGACUAAAAGUUUGCUUGAUUUGAUUUAAAUUUCAAUUUCAUUUAACUUUUUUUUUUCUUUUUGGACAGUCUGUCAACCUUUAACUUAAAGUGAGUUUCAUGUUUGCUUAUUACCAACACAUUUGAUAACUUCUUCCCUGAAGGACGGUCACACUGAGCUAAACACUAUAGGUGACUGUAUAUCGUAACCAUGGAAACUAUUGUCGAUGACUUAUUAAGCAUUCUUUGUCCUGAUCCCAAACAAUACAUCGUGUAUUGUCCAAGUUCCCUGGAGGGUUGCCUUUUCCCUUAUCAUAUAGACUGAAUUUAGUCUUAUUUCUAUCUUGGUUUUUUUUCUAUUGUUCGAUGAUAGUAUUGGCUUCUUAAAACGUAAAAGCCAGUUUGGGGACCACCAUUAAGUGGUUAGAAGUCUUUUUAAAAUGUGAAUCAAAGAAAAUGUUACCAUGUGCCAUUAUAUUACAAGUCAAGAAAACUGAACCUGACUUUGAGUCUUUUUUUUUUUUUUCUUCUAAUGAGUAUGGAUCCAUAGAAACAGUGGUUACGUUUCUAAUAAUGGCUGGGUACUGGUCCUCAGCAGUCCAAGAUACCAUUAGACACUGAGCGAGGGUAUGUUGACUCUGCUUUUCCUGAUGUUUUUUUCAUGUGAAGUUGCUUGUGGAUCAGUAGAGAACAUCAAGGGAAUGUUUUCAAAAGUUUGUGUUUUUUUUUUAAGUUUGUUUAUUUAGAGAGAUGAUGCGUGCAUGAGUGCAUGGGCAAGAGGAGGGGAGGGGCAGAGAAAGAGAGGGAGAGAAUCCCAGGCAGGCUCCAUGCUGUCAGACCAGAGUCCAACAUGGGGCUGGAAGAUCUGAGCUGAAAACAAGAGUCAGUGGCUUAACCAACUGAGCCGCCCAGGCACCCUUCCAGUACUCAGUUUUAAGGCUAUCUGACUGAAGAAGCUGGGUGGGGCUAAAUUUCUCAGUCCUCCCGAACCUCCCAGAGGGCUUUGUGGUAUCCUUUGUUGGAACACCAUAGGGAGGCCUGCCCCUGGGCAGAGGGAGUCUUUGUGCUUGGAGAGCCCGAGAGCCCUGGGCCUCCUUCAUUCAACAAGCCCUUGAAUCAGGCUCAGGCAGUGGUAGUUGUGGUGGUGCUAACGGCCGCCCAUUUUGAUGGCAAUUUGGCAGGGAGUCAAACUUUGGCCCUAAAGCAGAGGUGGUGCAAUUAGACAGCUGAGAUGCAUUCUCUAAACACACACUUUUAAUUGAUUUCAGCUUGUUCAGUUCACAAAGAUAGAGCUCUGACACAUAGCAGCCUUCUUAGAGAGGCUUAUUUUUACUUUCCCUUUAUUCAGCAGCGUAAUUCAACAGCAACAGAAGCAACAAUAAUACAGAGCUCUAAAGAGCGCGUAUUUGGCAUGGCUGGGAUACAAAAAGUAUUAUUAAGAACUAAUGAGUGAGAUAGUUAGAUGUUAACCGGAAAAGCAUUAAUGAGCAGAGGAGAAUUCUGGCAUAAACAUCUGCUUCUGAAGCAGAUGUUUUGUUACCUUGUAAAUCUGCUGAAGAAAAGCCUGCGUAAAUGGAACAGUGGACCGUUUUAGGUAAUAGGAGUGACAGAAUGAUAUCAUGAGGUUUUCAGAUCCUGUUGGUGGCUCUUCUGAAACUCAGAAAUGACUCUUGAGGCAGUGAAUUUGGGGGGGUGGGACAGAGUGGGGGUGACAAAGGAUAUGAGAGAAGAAUUACAGUAGGAGAUCACAAUGAGCAGGAGGCCAGCGAUUGCUGUCUCACAGGGAGAGAUUUGGGUUUCUCAUUACUUAAAUAGCUUGACUCCUGUCCCAUCUUGUCUAGGGCUCCAUAGUCAUCCCCAUAUAGAUGGAUUGUGGCUGUUGUCAUCUUCUUGGGCUAGAGAUUUAAGAUCUGUUCUGCCCCCAACAAAAAUUACCUAACCUUUGGCUGACUUACUGGUAGCUUAAUUUAUGUAGAUGACUAAAUGGCUAGUAAUGAGUUAAUGGUCACACUUUGCAGGAUUACACAAUGAGUAUGCUUUAGCAGCUUUCCAUCCUUCAUCCAAGAGUCGCUAGUUGGCAAGAUUUUCAGGGAUUCCCAAUGGAGGGUUAGGUGUUUUUUCAGAGACUUCAAAUGACCUACUCUUGGCAACUGCCCCAUUCACAUCUACACGAGGACAGCUUGAUAUGGGUUAUUUUCACUCAGUAUCCUAGAACAAACUUGGAGCUGGAAGGAAGCUUUAGAAUCGUCUAGGUAGUCCAAAACCCUUAGAGAUCCACCUGAAAAACAGAAGUUCCUAAAAAUGAUUCCACUAGCAUCACCUGGCAGUUGGUGAAAGGGUUGGUUCCCAGAACCCAGGCUCAUGUCUGGAGCUCUUUCCGCUGUGCCUCAUUCUACACAGCUCCUUUGUCCUUCUCUCCCCUACUAAAGGUCAAGAAUGGGGAGUUUCCUCUAGGGGGAAGAGUGCCUUCAGAGAAGACCAUGGGCUUGCCCCAUUUGGUGCUUUGAAAGUUAGAAGCAGGGGCUAGAACUGAAGUGAAAACCAGCCCCCAGACCGUAUAGUUACGGAUUGUCCUUCUGUAGCUUUCUUUAUUUGUAUCCGUCCUCAGAAUGGUCACAGGCGUAGAUAUGGGGAUUUUUAUUUAUUUUUUUUGUAACCAUUAAGUUUUGGAAAGCUGACAGUGUGGUUGCUUCUGCAUUGGCAUAGUUGGAGCCCGCCCCUUGUCUGCUAGUGAGCUGCAGAGGAACCCAGCAAACCAUCCCACCACCAGGGACCUGUAGCCUGCAGUGAUUUUGUUGAUGCUGGAUGAGUCUACUGUCUGCCACAAAAAACACUACCUCUGAAAUUUUUCAGGAGACUUUGAGUAGGGGGAUCUUAGCCAUUUGUGGCUGCUCUGGGAGUCUUCCAUGGUGCACCAUGUUUAUAAGAGAUAGGGGUCUCAGCUCUGCAUAUGUGAUGAUUCCUUUUUCCGUGUGUGUGUGUGUGUGUGUGUGUGUGUGUGUGUGUGUGUUCAUGUAAGAAGAAGCAUGAACAAAGCCAUAGCUUCAUGAAACGGGAUGAUAUCCCAAGUUAGCAAGGCCUGUAUUUUUCUAUGGAAUUCUUUCUCCUACAGAAUUAAGGAGGGCCCUGGUGAAGAGUAGCCACUAAUCUCUGACUUCUUCCCAGAUCACAGGCAUUUACUCCUAAUCAUGAGGGGCUUUGUAUCCUCCCUAGGAGGAGCCACAAAAGCCCAUGUUAACAGAAUAUUCUAAAUUAAUUCCUUCUGUUAUGCUUGAGGUGCCGAUUGAUUUCUCUUGAAAGAAACUUUGCGUCUGUCAUGUAGCUCAUGGCGAGUCAGAGGCAGAUUUUGUGUUACUUGAGGGGAAGUCUGUUUGACACCCCCAACGGUCCUGGGGACACAGGACGCCAGUAGAGCUUGUAUUGGGCUGACAUUGUGAAGGUGCUCAUGAGGCUGCCAUUUUGAAUGGUGUCCAUUGUGUUUGUGAUUCAUCAUCUCCCUGAGAGCAUUUCUUUCAUGGGCAUGAUGAUGACACAGGGAGACAGGAGAUGUGAGCAGUGUUGCUGAGCCUUUGAGUUGCUCUCUUAAGUGACUCCUUCCAUCAUUAUUUACUGCUGAGGGAAGAGGCUUCUGAAAGAAUGCUUUGAAAAAAGAAAGAAAUGUUUCUCUUGCUGUUGAUCGUGGGUGUAUUUCCUUCCUGGUGGCUUUGCUCUUCUUCAGUUUACUAGCCCCCUUGGUCUCAGCACCCAGCCGUUACCUCCCUUGAUUCUCAUACUGACCUCUGAGGUGUGUAUUACUAACGGGUACUCGGAAGGUUGUGGAGAUUCUGGAAAUUACCCAAGGUAACGCUGCUAGUCAAUGAUACGUUACGCUUGAACUAAACUCCAACCCCUUCCCAGGCCUGUACUCUUAACACACUGUACGGGUGUGUCCCUCAACCCCUGUCACAUGAAGCUUGACCUGUACUAAACUAGGUGGACAUUGUAGAACAAAUUGUCCUGGCCCUUGGAAGUGUGGGUUUGUUCAUGCUUUUCUCGCGUGAACGACACACAUGUGUACACAGACUCAUGAACACACACGCAUACACACGUAGAUUGCUUUGCUUAGUUUCCUUGUACUGAUCUUUCAAGUCUUGGCUCAGACAUGACCUCCUGCAGCCGAGCUUCUUCUGUGAACCCUCCUCUUCACCCCUGCUGCUCUCUUGUGGCACUCUGCACAGCUCUGUUACAGCACUUACUAUGUCCUGUUGUGUGUAGGACCUGUCCCUCUUGCCAGCAUGUGCAUGCCUGAAGGUCAGGGGCCUUGUCUCAGGGCCUAACCCUGAGAACUUGUGGCCCUGCAGAACUUGCUACGCUAGACCUUGCCAACUCUCUAAAUGUGAACGGAAUGAAGUCGAUAGCGGGAUAUUUGAAACCUAUAUGGCACUGAUGAUACAGGUAACCUGAACUUGAGGGGGGCCCAUAGCCUGUGUACUCGAGCAGGUCUAGAAACGGCCUGCUAACAGAAGACAUCUGUGCCUUCCUGCUUUCCAAGCACUGUGAAAAUCUCCACAAGCAAAAGGUUUGAGGAACUAUAACAUUUAUGGCUCCCUGGCCAUAAAUUCACUGAAGAACACAUAAAGAAUGCCAUUCCCACAGGGUUAUGGCAAAGAUUCAGUAUUGCAAACAUCUGCAUGUGAGCAGUAAAGCUAACCUCUGGUGCGCACUGCUCGACUGUUAUCGACAUAUAUUAACAUUAGUGACAAUCAGAUGUGAUUAUCUGAGAUGGCAUUUUAUCUGCCAACUGCAGACGUAUGGCUUCUAAAAACCCAAUUCGCUCCCUUUCUCAUAUGUUGUUUUUAUAUGACUCAAAUCACAUGCAGAAAAUCGUGAUGAGUGUGGCUCUGCUUUUGUGUUUUGGUGAAUACGGGUGUGUAUAAAUUUUCAGUACUUAAAUUGAUUUUUAGCAUCCUGGUUAGACUAGGCUCUCAAAAGUUUGUUAAACAGCUAAGUAAAUUGCAAAGCAUUAUGACUUUACAUUUGAAGACACUACCGAGAGCCAGGAAAAGGGGAUAGAUGCUGGUACUGGCUGAUAGGGUUUUUGAUGUAACAGCUUUCUAAUUAAUUUACAAGGUUGGAGUGUAUGUGUUACAUGAUGCAUCUCGAGGUUUAAAUCGCUGUCAUUAUCUCCUUCUUAUUUAAACCAGGGUUUAGCAGAAUUUUUCUGUUCAGAGCUAGAUAGUAAAUAUUUUUGCCUUUGUGGGUCCUGGGUUCUCUGUAAUAACCACUCCUCUCUGCCACUGUAAGGUGAAGGUAGAGAAUACAGCAACAAAUGAGUGGAGUUGUGUUCCACUAAAAUUGUAUUGACAGAAAUAGGCAAUGGGCUAUAGUUUGCUAACCUCUGGUUCAAGCAAAUAAUACAUUUUUCCAGAAGGUAUUGGGAGAUUUAGGAAAAAAAAAAUUUAGACCUUUUGCAAAUGGACCUUUCCUCUGGCUCCCGUUCUAUUUGGCCAGCGUCUAAAGUGGCCAAAUUAGAUUUUAAGUUAAAACAUAAAACUUUAAAUCCAAAUAUGUUCUUUAUGAUAGCACAGUGAUUCUUAAUACAUAUUUGAUUUUAGUUCAUCGACUGCAUUUAAUGCAUCUCCAGUAACAGUGACUUGUUACAGCAAAAGUUUUAAGAGGAGAGGGUGGCAUUACUCUGUAUUCUUUUCUCUAAAUUCCCUUCUAAAACCGUAUGAGCAUGAACCAUUGCAUUGAGAUAAGUAGAAUUUCAGAUGGGCAGAAAUAUAUAGGUGUCAGAAAGCAAGAGCUUAGAAUCAGAAUUCCUUUCUGAAACCUAAUGUCAGCAUCACUGACACAGGGCUUUCUCCAUUUCACACCAGGCCGUAGAACCUUUGAGAAUGGACGUAUGCUGGAACUUGCAAAUAUCUUACGGGUGAUGGUCAGAUUUCCGAAUGGCAGGAGGGUUUCUGGUUUCACAGUUUGGAAAGGAUUACAGAGCUAGGCGCAAGGGAAAUAAGUGAGAGUAUACCUUAUCAUACUUGUUUUUUUCUUUGUUUGAGGUUAUUUUUUGUUCCUCUCCAAACGGUAUGUGAGACGACCCAAUUUGCAUUGCACUAUUCUGGGUGACUGAGGCAGUUGGCGAAACCGUGACCCAGGAUAACAGCCCAAGCAAGUGGAGCCUAUAUAAAUUAUUCUUACUCCUUAUUUGUUUAUUUCAACGCAGUGUUUCUACCUUGUAGUUUCAAGUGGUUUUCAAGACGUCCUCACCAGUGUAGCAACUGCUGACAGCUUAACGUUAAGCCUCUAGCCCUCCCCACCCAGGUCUUGGCUGCUUAGCUUUGCAAAUUAGCGAGCAGAAGUUGGGGGCAAGAGAAAAACUGUGUUAAUUGUAGGAGAGGCCUGUGACCCAUCUAGCGGGGAGUGCUUUGUGGAAUUCUUCAUAAGGUCAGAGCCAGACAGUUGUGACUUCUCACAUGACCAGUUUGGGGAUACAGCAGUGGGAUGUUUGGAGGGGAAGAUGCAUGGUCCUCAGACAUGCGGCUUCGGCAUCACCAGCUUUUUAGAAAUGCAAAGUCUCGGGCCCUGUGGCCAGGCUACUAAUCAGAAUCUUGGCAGGUGGGUCCAGGAAUCUGAUCUAAGCAGGUCUCAUGCUGAUGGCCCUGCCUGCGAAAGUUCAAGAAGCACUGCUUGAUUCGCCAGCCAGUUAGCUCCAUCUAGUACCUUUUUAUGGUUCUGGAAAUUGAGGGCAAAUGACUUGCCCAACAUGAAGCCUGGGGGUGGGGACCUGGUGGUCUGAUUCCCAGGCCAGGGUCCAAGACAGUGCCAGUUUAGGUAGAUGACAAAGAGGCCAAGGGCCUUAAACAGAGUGGUGACUUGGGACCAAUGUCUGCACACUGUGCCAUUCAUGUUGUGGUGGAGAGACCUGGUCAGAGGAGAGGUGGAAGAGUUGGUGACUGCCAGCUCUCCUCCUAACCCGGGGCACCCUUUCUCCAUUGAAGAGCCUGGUGACCCUGCUGUUGAACUUCCUCUUUUAAAUAAACAGCUCCCUAGAGCAUCCUCCGCUGAGCUUAGCAACAAGGGAGGAGGGAGUGAGGAGGGGCGGGAAGAGAAAGGCUCCCCCGUUAUCAUCAUGUCAGUGCAAUCACUGGGAAUUACGGUUGAGGAUUAAGAGUCACUUGGGGAUAAUUCAGCCAGGCUGGAGAGGGAAAUACGCACCCGCGCGUGCGUGCGCGCGCGCGCGCGCACACACACACACACACACACACACACACACACACACCCCGUAAACAUAUUGCUAAAACUCCUGGCAGGAAACAAACAGCGCAGGAAAACAAGUAUGGGCAGAACUGAAAGGGCCUGAAUUUUGAAUAGGUGGUAUAGGCUCCAGAAUGAUCUGUUUCCUAAACACUUUGGGGGAAGUUGUAUACACAGUGACUAUAGCAGAGCAGCUGCUUCCCCAACUCUGUGCAUUGCUCUGUUUCAGAACCAGCAUCCCUUCUCCUCCAGGCAUCUGUUCCUGAGAACACUUGAAGGUUCUGCCAAGAGGACUCAAACUGGCAAUAGAAUACUUGAAAUGUAGAAAACGAUACACACACACACACACACACACACACACACACACACACACUUCUAAAAAGACGCAGCAAGUCCCGAAGGAAAGCGUCGCCUAUCUCCCGGAAUCAGGUGCCUCUGCAGAAGGUCAAAUACAUUAUCCAUCUCUUGUGGUUGUCCUUGGACUGCAACAGGAGACCUCAGCCAGUUAAUGUUUUGCUUUUCCCAGAGACAGUGUGGAAUUGGAUCACACUCUUUGGGUGUGUGCUGCCUGUACCAAGAAUGUCUUUUCUCACCAUGUGACGUGAAUGUCCAGCCUGACGGGAUUCUCCCUAAGCAUGGUAAAUGGAGUCUAGAAGAAUCCUGUGCUUUUCCGAUCAACUCUGAAAGAGCUGAAUAGACCAGAGCAAUCUAAAGUAGCGAGGGGAAAUAAUUUGUUCGCCUUCACUGAGAGUCUUGGCAGAAAAUUCCACUGAGGGGCACGGCCGAGACCUCAUGGGGCCAGUUUCAAGUGAGAGCUCCCUUCACCCUUCGUGUGUCUCUCACUUGAGGUUGGCUGCGAGGCAAUUAAUUAUCUCCAUGGUAGAGGCCUCCUACUACUUCUUUCUAAGCAAGUCCCAGGCCUUAAACAGGGGUUAAACCAGGAAGGAAACGGCCCCAGGCUUUCCAAGUGUAGGUGCUCUUAAUACCACUCUGAGCCAAACAGAAGCAACUGUUAAAAACUGAGAACAAACUGAGGGUCGAUGGGGGGUGGGAGGGAGGGAAGGGUGGGUGAGGGCUAUUGAGGAGGGCACCUGUUGGGAUGAGCACUGGAUGUAGUAUGGAAACUGAUUUGACAAUUUCAUAUUUAAAAAGUUACCUUUAUGUUUAUACUCUUUUUCCAGUCUUCUUCAUGCUUUAUGACUUGAGAGAGAUCUUGUUGUUGUUUUGCGUAAUGAGACUGACUUUAUUUUACUUCCCGAGGAGGAGGAGUUCCAGAAGUGAGAAGGUGGGGGGAGGUGCAGGCCGAGGAGGCUUUCUCUCCCUUUCCAAAUCCUCCCCGUUAGCAUUAGAGCACUACAGAAUCCUUUCCCAGAUGGACAAAUGCUGCAACAGAUGUGUCAGCAGUCGUGUAUUCUGGGAUUAUUUGGGUUUGUUUAAAUUGAGCUUACCCUGCACCAAAGGAUUUUGUGGAAGGAAAUAUGUCGUGUUUUUGGACAAGGAGAGGUUUCCAGCCUCAGAUGUGAAGGGGCUGAGAGAUUACCCCAUUCCAGAAUGCCCAUGGGUAUGCAUGGCUCUGUCUUGGGGAGUUGCUGCUUCAAGGCCAAAUAAGCUGAAAGAACACAUCUCUUCUUUUCUCUGAUACCUCCUGGAACUAGACGUUUCAUAAUCUGGAUCUUUCCUCUUUGAUUUUCUGCCUGGGAUCUUAAUAAGACCGGCACUAUCCGUGAAGCUGAGGUGACCUGUUCAGAUGCCCUAGGAGUUGGAGAGGGAAGCCAUGUUGGGCUUCAGGGAAGGGACACACGUCCUGUCUGCCCAUUGUGGAGGUACAGAGAAGGGACCCUCCAGGGAACAGUCAGGCACCGCCCUCAGCCGCCAGACACAGCUUCCACAGCAAUUCCACACUUUUUUGAGAAGGAUGCUUUUGUGGUCUCAGAUGCUGGCUUCAUGUGGAAAGCUGACAAGGAAGGUUUUGUUGCGCAUGGGGCGCUGCAGAUCUGGAACACCGUGGAAGUCAGGAGCUCUUGGAUCCAAACCUGGUUCUGGGAUUCUCUGUGUCCUCUUUAAAGGGCUCAUACAGCCUUUCUCUGCCUCCCUUUCCCCAUCAAUGAGGUUGGAUUAGAAUUAGAUGCUUCUUAAGUAUCUGCUAAUGACAACACUCCAAUUUUUUGAGUCUGUACUAAACUAACCAAGUACAGUGUGUGUAUUCUACCUUCUCCUAGGAUUUGAGAAUGUCUUAGCCAAAAGAAACCUAAAGAAAUAAUUGAUGGACAGGGCAUCUGGGUGGUUCAGUUGGUUAAGCAUUGGACUCUUGAUUUUGGGUCAGGUCAUGAUCUCAGGGUCUUGAGAUCGGGCCCCCCAUCAGGCUGAGCAUGGAGCCUGCUUAAGAUGCUUGCUCGCUCUCUCUCUCUCUCUCUCUCUCUCUCUCAAAAAUACAUAUUUUUUAAAAUUGAUGGAGAUUUCCCUAUAAAGGUAAAGAUUUACACAGAAAUCCUAUUGUUAACUCUUUCCUGCAAAAGCAACCCAAUGGACAUUUGCCCUUCAAUCUUGAUGAGGAACUGGAAAGAUCUUAAUUACUACUAAGAAGCACAGUACAUUACAGAAUUGUUUCACAUAUGAUCCUCAAAGCAAACCUGUGAAGUGCUGUGUGUUAUAUCCACGUUUUGGAAAUGAUGAGUAAAUGGUAAAGCUAAAACCUAAAUAGGGUUCUUCUGUCUUCCAGUUUUCUAGAAUUCUGGUUAAUAUUCCUAGUGCUAAUUCUAACUAAUUGAUGAUAAAUCCUGGUUGCUCUGCUAAUUGAGUAAGUUUUUAGCACCUGCUAUGGAGCCCCCCUCCACCCCCUGCUCAGUUUUCUUUGGAAAGUAAAAUAUAACCAAGGCAAGAUACAUAUGCUGAGAAAUGAUUAAUAAGACCAGUUUAUAUUCAGCAUCUCCAAAUAUAUAUAUAUAUAUAUAUAUAUAUUUUAGUCCCAAACUUGUAAAUAAUUUUAUAAAUGAGUCACUCUCUUGCCUUUUUAUAAGCUGUAUCUAGUUCAUUUCCCUCUUCCAAAUAUAAACCCCUAAAGGCUCAGCGUACUCUUAUUUUUCAGGCAAUAAGGAACAGACAAAGUUAGCCUUUUCAGGUAUUUUCAUGUAGUCAGGGAAGCUCGCCAAGGGAGUGAGGAUAAGAUGGCCCAGUGCCCUUGGGCCUUUAGAAAACGUCUCAUGGGGGCAAAUGCUUUGAUUCCCAGCAGUGCAGGAGGUAACAGAUGUGAGGCUCUCCAGGUGCUUACCAGAAAUAUGUAUCUACUGUGGGACAGAACAAGGUACUUUGAAGAUUGGAGAAUUUGUCGGCCCUGUGACUGUUCACUUUAUUGCUUUCUUCCUGUGCAAAAUGUCUCCGGACCCAGAGGGAGAGGCACCAGCCAGACAGUGAGUCAAAUGACAAGUUGACAAAAUGGUUGUAAUUCUAGAAGCUGCAGUCCCAUCCCACUCUUUUUAUGUAGGGAUGGGAUGAAGCCAAAAUCUGAAACAGCUCCCAGGAGAGCAAAAAGAUAUUGUUACUAAUGGUUGGACUGACCUGAAUUCUUUCCACAUUUAUUUAUGCCAACCAUCGGAAUAAACAUCUGAAUCACAUCCACAUUAACACCCAUAUCUAGUGAGGGUGUUCUUAUUAAGAGAGCGCGUCAGCCAAGCCUCACAACAUGCCCUGUGCCCACCGUGUGCAGGACAAGCAAUUGAUAUCAUGGUAGAAAGGCCUUAGAGUGACACCACAAAUAUCUCUGCUCCUUAUCCAGAGAUUUCAUGACACCAGGCACAAGAUGGGACAGCAGAAUUUGAUGCCACAUUUGAGCCAGAUACUUUAUGUUAAGGGAAGAUUCGUGCAGGUUUAGACAUGGUAUCUGUUUGUGUCCAUUCAUUCUUCUGCUAAACAAAUGGUUACAGAACACCUGCUACUAUCCGUUAUUGUACUAGAAUCUACAGAGGGCGCAAUGGCACCUGGUCCUGGCUUCCACUUUCUUACUCUUGGGUAAGAAAACAACGACUUUAAAACGCCAGCGACAGGUCCUGAGAUGUAGGUAACAGGUGUUGAAGGGAGUAGGGUAUGAGUCCUGUAUCUUUUCAUGGAGACAGAGUAUCAGGAAGAAGCGGGGAUAGAGGUGCAGGUUAAGCUAAAGGUGAAUACAGGUGAACCAGGUGAAAUUUGCACGGAGUCCACAGGGAGAGAAGUAGAAGUUGCAAUCGAGUGAAGGCGUACAAAGCCCUGGGAGGUAAGAGAGAGGGAAGUUGUGAAUCACUACCGGCUUCCAGGCCUGCUGGUGAUGUGGCAGAGUGGACCAGUGCCCUCCUACUCGCCUGUGCCGUAUCCUGGACCUCACCGAUCCUUACUGUCUGCUGGUCACGUGCCAUCCUCUUGCUACACAUGAUUUGCAUACUCCUCCUCCCCCUGCUAGGAAUAUUACUGUCUCGCCACCACCAUCCAGAGCGUCCAGGCCGGAAGGAGUGAAGCUUGUGGAACCUGAUAGUCCGUUUUGUCUUGUGUCUCCCUGUCUCAGCUCCCUGCCAGCUCUGUGAGGACAAAGAGCAGGAUUAUUCUUCAGGUACCACUGCACUGCCUGUGACGGAGCAGGCCCGUGGUACGUUCUCUGGAAACACCGCUAGCUCAGAUGCUACUCUAUCACACAUUGUCCCCUUCCAUCCUUGUCUUAAGAGUUUAGAAGGCGUUCAAUGUCCAGUGACUUGUGGACAUACGCACUUGUUGCCUAAUUCUUCUGAAACCGGGUAGGUGACCUAGUAGGGAUGGACUGGUUGAUGGUAUGAGAGACGUAGUGACUAUUAAGAGACCCUUGAAAUCCUCGUAGUUGGUUUUGCAAGUGAGGUCGUUAAUGCUCAAGAGGGAGAGAGCCUACCCUGCCGCCAGAGAUAGAAAGUCAGGCUUAUGUUGUGGAAAAAGUUCUCCAAACUAGAUGAACCAUGUGGAGCUGCGUCAAAGAUCUGCUAAUGAAUUCAGUCAUCUACAUCUCUUUAAAUGAUAUAUUAACGUAUUUCAGGUUUACUGCUUUUUUUAAGUGAGUGCUUUUUAAGUAAUUUGAAGACAAUGUGUCAGUGAAUUGGUACUAUCAUUUCUGAUGCUCACACUAUUUAAAAUCUUCAAGGGUAGGGUUUUAAGAGAGUAUGGAUUACAGUAUUUUUUUUUACUGGUUAGGAGGAGGGUAAUAAUAAAUCUGUAAUUGGUUAAUAAGGGGAUCGUGGACAAGUGGUGCCAGUAAGUCAGAGUGGGAAGUGUGUGGGCUAAUUCAAUCUCCUAUACCUACCACUUAGGGAAGUGUGGGUGAGUUAGUCUCCUGUACUCUGGGUUUUCUUGUUCAUUAAAUGAGGAAAACACAGCUUUCCUUUUAGAGGUGUUGUAAGGUUUAACAGAAGUAGUUCAUAAAGAAUAAUCAGUUCAUUGCCCAACCUGUGGUAGGCAUUUAAGCCCCUAAUUCUAUGAGAUACGUGAAAACCCCAUGCCUUUCUUCCACUUAUCCCCAAGUAGGAUAUGCCCUGGUUGUGGCAAGGUCUCUGGCCAUAAAUGGAGCAUAAAAACUUGGCCACCGAACUCAGAAAGAUGUGGAUUGAAAUGUUGGCUUUAACACGAUCACUUUGACUUCUGCAAUUUUACUUUGUGUGUAAUUUUUUUCCUCUAUAAAAUGGGGAACAUGAUACUAUCUACCUAGGAGGGUUAUUAUUGGGACUGAGUGAGAGAAGCUGUUCAAAGCCCUUAACGUGGAUUUGGUGCACAAUAAAUACUCAACAGAUGCUAGUUAUCAUUAGCUACCUAUUACCCAGUGUUGCUUUACUAGGAAGUGGGUAUCAGGCUCCCCCUGGCACAAGAGAGCUUGCUCUGUUCACUGAAGCUUGCUCUGCAAGUAAGGUUGCAGUCCAGUAUUACUGAGGAUGUGAAAGCCACUCUGUGGGGGACAGAAGCAGGAACCGUUGCUGUACUCUUUCCCAGUCCAGAGGCACUCAGGUAAGAGGCCAGAUCUGCAUGGGAAGGUACAGAAAUGGAAGAAGUACCCACAUAGGGCACCAUAAAAGGAGGUUAAGGAAAGCAGAGAUUGCUCUAUAGGAGUAGGAUUGGAGGCUUCCGAGGAAUUCUGGGCAUUUAUUUUUAUUCCAGAGACCCAGUAGCACAUAGAAGUUAAGAAAGCACAUUAUUGAAAAGGAGAUUUCUUUGGAAGACCUGCAUCUUUCUUAGAUAAACACAGAGAGAAACGUUGACAGAAGGCACGUAGCUGGCAGUGCACUUCCCAGGGCAGGCUUCUCUUUUCGGGUGCCGGAGCCACCCAACACAGAGGUGAUCAUGACUUCUUAGCACGGUGAAUCAGGCAGUAUGGGCAAACAGUUUCUGCCUCCCGGAGCCCCUAACACUUGCUAGGUACAGGCAGUCUAGACUGAAGGAAAUGAUUGAGACUUCAAGAUACAGUCGUUUACCUGGGGACACAUGUAGAAAGAUAAUAAAUAACAGCUGGCCAAAUGCAGAAUCCUUCACUUUCUUCAAACACCGUCUUUUUCAUUAGGAAUCUGAAUCUGCUAGAUGGUCCAUAGAGUGCAGUCCUUCUAAAAUGAUUUCUUACUCUCCCCCUGUCUCUCUCUCUCUCACCCCUCCCCACUUAAAAAAAAUAGAUCCCCCUUGCUCACACCUGGUAUCAUCUACAAUUAAAGAUCACUUGAGCUGCUGACAAUGUCCCAAGCUGUUCUUUAAGACGAACUCACUCCACUUAGCAGUGCCCUGUGCCUGCUGAUCCCACUGCAGUGUUCUCUCCGUUGAAGGCAUUGCCUCAACAAAAUCUGUUUUAGAGUUUUCUUUGCUUCUCCAUGCUGAAUUACAGUCACAGUCAAUGGCCCACUUGUGUGUAGUUCAAGAAGCAAUUAAGGGCUCUUUUCUUCGAGCAAGCAAGGGAGGGGGUAGAGUGAAAAAUGAUCAUUACUCUGAUGAGCCCUCUGCGUAGCUGAACAGUUCACAGAUCUUUGAUAGCAUGAGUCCCCCCACAUUUAAACCCAUCUCCGUAACUGCCUUCUGCAGCCUCUCUUGCUGUCAGAGACACUUGAGGGCGGGUCAAGGACUCACAUGUCCUAAGGUCGGAAGAGCCCAGUCCGACUUAGGGUUCUGAUUAAAUACGGUUGUACCAGCUGUACAGAAAUCCACAGCCGGAUGAUGGUGUCUUUGGAAAUUAAAAAGUGGAAACCUGGGAGACCUCCUAAGUAACGUGGCAGUCUCCAUCAUAAGCCUUUUGUUUUAUUCAGGGGGAUUUAUUAUAAUAAACGUGGUAGUCUUACCUAUCUAUGCUCUUCUACGUGAGUUGUGUCCAUCUUUAGCUUGUAUGUCGGUGGAGGGCAGAGACUGCUCUCUCUUUGACCAUCCUGGUCUAAAGACAGAAGCUGCUCAAACGUUUUUGUUAAGAUGAUCCCUGGGUACCCUCCUUGAUGUUUCUCAGUAAAUAUCUGCUCUGUGUGGAGCAGUAAGCUUGGCUCGGGUGGGAGGGGGGAGAGACCAGCCAUUGCAAGUCAGUGGCUCUCAAAGAGAGGGCCCCUCAACCACAUCAUUAGCCUCACUUAGGAAUGUGUUGGAAAUGAGUGCUCUUUUGGCCUUACUCUCAGAAACUCUGGAGGUCAGGUCCAGCAAUUGGUGCUUACCUAAGCCUUCUAGCACAUUCUGACAUGUGCUCAUGUUUGAGAAAGAGUGGUCUAAUAAAUUCCUCCUGGCCCUCUGGCACCUCCACAGACCCUGUUUGAUGAAGAGGAGAACCCUUCCUCUUAUAAGAUGAGGAUAAGCUUUAACACAGCCUCCCAGCUUCCUCCACAGGGUGACAAUGUGGCUACUUGCCACCAUCGGAGGUUUGAGGACUGCCUGGCAGCUCAAGGAGCCAAGGAGCUUGACACAACUACGUGAUGUGCUAUUUGACCAUGCUUGCCUUGAAGAGAAUGUCUUCGUUACUGGGUAUGCAUGUUGAGUUACAGAAGGGCACUGCUUGUUGCUCAAAAUCGAAGCAGCUAUGGCAUGAAGAGAAGUUUAGAUGUGAAAGACUUGGGGUCAAGGCGUAGGUCUUGUGGAGAAGCUUUGGGACUUUGGGAAAAUCCAUUAACCUUGCUAAACUUAGAUGGACCUGAGUUUCCCCAUCUUAAAAACAGAGUUAAUUAUAUCUGCCCUAUCUGCUUCAUAGGACGUUCUGCUCAAUGGAGAUAGGGGUCAGGAUGGGAUUUUGCCCAAACUCACUUCUCUACUCAGAUUUUUGGAUGAAGGUGCCCUACCGACACAAAAAGCUCAGUGGGGAUAAAGUAUUUUUAAUGUAUUAAUCUGAUGCAUUUACAUACAUGUGUGUGUACAAGUGCACACACGCUGUGUUGCUUCUCUAGUGAAGGAUAAUAAAACAUAAGGCAGAGUUAUGUCAGCCUGAGUGAAGCCUUCCAUCUCCACCUUGUGGUCAGACUCUAUGUCCAGUCACCCCACCAGUCCAGGCACGAGCAGCUAGGACCCCAAGCAUGACUAAAGUCUGGGUGUCAUGACCACACACAAGCAGGGACCUAAGUUGAGCCUGCCCACUACAAGUGCCAGAAUGAGUGUGGGUGGUUGAGAGUCUAGCAGGCUGCAUGAGAGGACAGCAGUUCUGUGCAUUGUGACCAUGGCCCAGAGAUGGCCAGGCUCCAACCAGUGCAUUGCGCAUGUUCCCUCCCAUGGGAGGACCUAGCAAGGAGUAGACUGUAGAGAUGCAUGUCUGAAGCAACCCCUACAAGAUUCCCCUCAAACAUGAGCAUGCUCAAACUCUACACUCCAGGGUAGGAGUUCUCCUUCCCUAAAGUGCAAACACUGGAAGAAAAUAGGAGUUUUCUUCUUCCUCAUUAGCUAAGCACUCACUCUGAAAAUGUUAACAGUUUAUAUGUGUGAGAUGUUAUAUUCAGUAUUUCUUUGCUCUAGUCCCCCAGUGCCAUGACAAUCACCGGGCCCCGAGGACUCUCAUUGUCAGGUUUGUCUCUUCUCUGCCUAGUGGGCAGGGAUGGGGCUUGGUGACAGAGGUAGGCAGCAAGCUAGCUCAGCUUGGUUGGGCCCAUGGUGCUAAGCCAGUUCUGAGGGAGUAGGCAGAAAGGAAAAUGGUGUGGAAAGAUGGAGGCCAAGAGGAAAUUUAAGUCCUCAAAUAGGAAGAGGCAUGUAUCAAAACAAGAUGAGAGGGGGCUUAUGGGUGAGUGCUUUGAACAGUGGCUGGUAUUUGUGAUUUGCUUCACACGCUCAGGACUGUUGAAUGGAUGCAUUUGCUAGGUCUAAAAUGCUAGGGAUGAACGAAUUUUGGCUUGACCUGGUAGCACAUCAGAAACCUAAUCCCACCGCUAGGUAAGACCUGAUUGUGUAUUGAUGCUACCCUGUCCUCUUCCUGCUUCUCAGCCUGCAGACUGUAGCCACCCAAGGCUGUGUGUGCGCCUGGUCCCCACAACUGCCCUUCUGCUUAAACCGUGGUGGUCUACCACCUGCCAGGGCUGGGGCCCUUCCUCACCCCAGCACACCUGAGCAAGAUCCUGAGAGCCCUGUCCCAUAAACCUGCUCUCUCAUUGUACAUUCCAUUUUUAUAACUUCUACAGUGCCAAAACUUGCCCAAUAAUAUCCAUAAUCAUUGACUGGACUCACUCGUUACUCUCUUCCAUCUGUCAGGUAGGACUCGAGGUAUUCUGAGUAUGGCAGCUGCAUACGGUUGUGCAGGUUGUAUCUGGACAACUUGGGAGGGUGCUUUCUGGAUGGUGGCCUAUGUAUGUAAUGUGUAAACACACCUGGUAGCCCUGAGUUCCAUGGACAGGAUGUGAUUUUGUCAUCCUUUUUUGCAUAUUGUAAUUUAGACUGACAAAUUUAACUUUGCUGCUCCACAGCUCCUUGCAAUGAUUGGGCUCUUGGGGUAAAAAUGAGGUAAGAUUAAGUUCAGACAUAGGUUUUUAGGUCAGCAACUAAGUCUGGAUGGAAUUAAUAAUGGCAAUCAUUAUUCGCCCACCUCCCUUGUCACUACUAACACUUCCUGAGCACCUGUUACAUGCCAGGCACAUGCACGGUUGAAGGACAUCCCAAGACUUUCUCUAACUGCAACAUGGCAGAACCAUCACUUCUUCGUAAAUCCAAAGUGACAUGUUACACAAAGAUGAAAUCUAUGAAGCAGCUCCCUUAGAGGUGAUCUUGAGGAAUAGACUCUCAGGCCUGCUACCUGAGGAUGUUAACGUCUGAUAAGCGAAAGCUUCCUCACCCCAAAUUCCUAAGGUCCCCAAACUUUGUCAGUUUAUUGUGUCUUGGUUAGUAAUUUUUUUACCCCCUAGACCGAGAAAAAUACCUAGAAGUUCAUUUAUGUGUAGCUAGUUUCAAAAAACUGGAUACUCAUAGUCUGCUCCCUGACAUAGGUCACUGUGUGACCCUGGAAAUGUAAAAAUAGCCUGUGGCUUUCCUGUGAAUUUGCUACAGCACACAGUCUGGGAACCAUGACCUUAACCACAUAUGAGGCAAAGAGGAUAGAACUUAAACACUUGAGUCUGCCAGGAGUCUGCCACCAGCAGGUCACUUUGCCUUGGAAUAGUCCAGUAAAACAAUGAAAAUUUUUACCCAGUCGUUUGGAAGGGAAGGCAAGUUGGAGAAAGAUGAUGAUUUUGAUAAAUUGUAAGGAACUGGUAGACAUAGUUUCCUUAACAAGCAUUUCAAUAUCAGGAUCACUUUUGGGCCAAAAGACAGUUGCUGGCCAAGAAUCCCUUUGGACCUAUUGGCAGAUGUGCUUCCUGUAGUUUAGCUUAGAAGCACUAGUUUCUUUCUGGAAUGACAGAAUCAUUGCCCAUGUCCUGAGUACUUUUGAGUCUGUGUCACUCAGUGGACCUUUGGCUACUUCAGGGCAGGGACUGGUAUAGAUUAGGUGUUUAAUGCAUGUUUUUGAAAUAUGUAACGCUUUUAUAGAUGACUUGUGAAUAUUUUUAUUCCUCAAGUAGUUUCUCUAAUGAACAUAGCUUUGUCAUUCUUUGGUCUUUUUUUUUGUUUUGUUUUAGGUUUGCAGUCAAAAGGUAGCAUGAAUACAUCAAGCAGUGCAGCUAAGUAUGCAUUUAAAGGCAUAGGCUUAUCCUUUCGAGAGUUGCCAGAGAGAAGGGAGAUCAAAGUGUAUUGGUGUGGCUGUGGAGAUCCUGGUAGACCUUUCUUUGCUCCUCAUGAUAAUAGCAAGCACACCAUUCUCAACAUGUACAUGGACUCCAUUCCGUAGGUGGCCAUUGGAGCCUUAACGCCAUUCCACAUUUUAUGGUUAAGUUCAGUUAUGAGCAGUAAGGCAAAGUUUUCGUGGCAGGAAACCAAGAAACAGUAUCUUAUGUUCUUUGAAACGGAAUGCUUGAUAUUCUGGAAAAUGAAUGAGUCAUAUACCAUUGAAAUUCAGCAUUGAACUCGGCAAUGGUUGGCAUUUGUGCUGGGACAAACACAGUGGGGAAAUUGAGGAGCUCCAGAAAAACCCAGUAGUUUUGUUUUGUUUUUUUCCUUUAAAGUAGGUCUACCAUGGAAUGCCUGUCCCUAAUCUAAUGACGGGUAAAGCAUAAUUAUAUUGAUAUAGGACAUAGCUUGAAGAGGCAACACAGUUUCUGUUUAAUAUUUACUUUAAGGGAGUACCUGGUAAACUGAGAUGAGAACUUCAGUUCUGGAAAUUUUUUGACUUUCUCCACAAGUCCCUUUCUCUUUAUCCCCUAGGCCAAUGUCGUCAAAACUCCCUUGGGUUGAGGCGAGUCGCUGCAAUAUAAGCAGUGGUGCUCUUUCCAGGCAGUUCAUUCCAUUUGACAUAUUUGAACCACUGAGCAAUGAGUGAUAGCGCUACAAGGAAGUCAGCCCAGACAACCUUUAAUAACCAUUCCAACACUGAGAGAGUCCAUGCUUUCAAGAUGUGAGCUGCUAAUAAUCCCACAGGGUCAUUGAGUGUCUUGGUUUUAAAUAAAACAGGAGCAGUAAGGAAGCUUGUUGUGACAAAUAGUACACCUGCUCGCUGCCCUCUACCUUGCCUCACAAUCAAACAAAAGCCCUUUAGCAUAGGAAUCUCAACAAGCUGCUCAGAGGAGCCAUUUAUAGCACAGAAGUAAGAGAGCAGAGAGCAUUUCCAGGCUUUUGCCAGUUGUAGUUCAAAGCAGACGUGGACUUUCUGCUCUAGCUUAACUUCUUUUCUGCUGAGAGGUAAGAAAAGGUGCAUAUGAUGGUGGUAAGGAGGGGAUAGGAAGCCACACCUUUGGGGUUUUUUUGUUUCUUUUUAGGAAGCCACACCUUUGUAAAAGUCUUUUCUUCGUUUGUUACAAACCACAUUGGGUCUGCCCAGACCUAAAUUCCUGGAACUCACUUUUCCUGGAACUCUGAUGAAAUGCAAACACUGACUUUGAACAGUUACUCCAACACUUUUACUGUGCCCCAUGCCCGGAUCGUUCUGAGUACUAACUCAUUUAAUCCUCAAAAACAGGAUUAGAAUCAACGAGAAAGAUACUGUAAGUGUGAUCUCUCAUUCGUUCAUAGGAUUUUAUGGUUGCCUGAGAUACCUAUCUUGAUCCUCCAAGAGUUCACAAAAAUAAUGUUUCCAUUGGGGGUGGGGGGUGGGGCGCUAGGCUUUAUAAAGUAGAAACUAUUUAUUUAAAAAAAAUCCUGCAAACAGUAUAGCUUACAUUAACAUUUUUUUAAGUCAAAAUAUGCAGAGGAAAGACCCCACCUGAUACAGAACUCCAGUUGGGUUCUUUUUUUUUUUUUAAUGUUUAUUUAUUAUUGAGAGACACAGAGACACAGAGCAUGAGAGGGGGAGACAGAAUCCAAAGCAGGCUCCAGGCUCUGAGCUGUCAGCACAGAGCCCAACAUGAGGCUCGAAUUCACAAAGGCGAGAUCAUGACCUGAGCCAAAGUUGGAUGCCCAACUGACUGAGCCACCCAGGUACCCCUGUUGGGUUCUUUUAAGGUUCAAUUUUUUGUUUUUGUUAAAUGGUAGACAUUUUAGGAUAAACUUACUUGAAGGUCAUAGAUGUAUGUAGUUCUUGGGACAGAUAAUCUCUCCAUUCAGCACUUAAAAUUACAAUCUUUCUACUAUACUGAUUCUUAGAGGAGCUUGAGAUACAGAAAUGUGGGUGAAUGUGCUUUUUCCACUCAGAAUAUUACUCAAUGUUGUAAGAUCAUAACAUAAAAAUAGAAAGUUACUACCGUAUUUUUUGUAGGCUUAUCACUGCCAAUGUCCAUGGAGGGGACUGAGAGAAGGGGGCAGGUUGCAGGUAAUACUAUCUUUUCAUGAAAGAAAGAAAUGGAAAUGUUUUGGCUUCCUUUCAGUAACAUAUCAUUUGUAACGUCUUCCCCUCAUUUACAAUCAUGUCCAUUUAUAAACAGUAAUUUGCUCUUACCAACUUGUACUGUAGUUAGAGUUCUGUUGGGAGUAAUUGGUGUUCUUUAUCUGUGACAUCAUGAGCAUUUAAAAAACUAUAAUUAUAAAUAUCCUCUUGGGUAAAAAAAAAAUAGUAAAAAGAAGGACUUGAAGAAUCUGUGUAGAGACUGUUUCUUACUGCUUUGUCUGAGUGUCCUGCCCCCACCCUAAUCUCUGUGAAUUGAGAUACCUCCAAAUUCUUCAAAACUCAGUGUGGAUGUUGCCUAAUACAAAUCUCAGAAAAUGUUACUGUUUAGAGAACAGCAUUUAAUAAUAGUAUUUCUUUACAUCUAAAAUAACUUGUUGCUGUUAAUGUUGAUCUUCCAAUUCUGAAGUCCCAAGAAUAAGCUUGGAUUCCUUUGUCUAACACAGUGAAUUGUGGGUUUUGGGCUGGGCUUCCUCCCUCUUCUUUUUUUUUUUUUUUUUUUUUUGCUUUAUCCAAGGAUAGACCAAUGGAAUCAAGGUUUAUAUUUCUCUGAAUGGUUUGAAUUAGAAACAACUGGUCCUAGUGAUACUGAUGAGUGGUAGGAGACUCAAGCAUAAAGUAGUUGGAGGAAAAGGACCAAUCUAUCAAAGACAAACUUCAGUUUCCUAAAACAUGCAGUUACAGAGAGGCAUUUCGACAGAGGGGAGACCAGUAGAUUACUAAUGGGGUAUUUAGAGAGGAAGGAGCACAAGUAGAGUGUAAUCUCAAUAUAUAAACCGCUUAUGUUCUUAAAGUCCAAUUUGUACCCAGUAUUUUUUUUUUUUUGUAACUCAGAAUGUAUUUCCCCAUGGAACUAUAUUUUGCAUGCUUUUGGGCUCCCUGGCCAGCUUAUGAAAAUCUAUGUCAAGCAUAAUGUAGUAAUGUGGUUUUUUAGAAAGAA